rnacentral:misc_RNA from 1 species
CUUCCGCUGAGGUUGGUGUGUGCGCCCACGGCCCGAUUAGCAAUCGCUGGCCGGCGCGCACGUCAGGGCUAUUUGCCUCUGCAUGCAGGCCGGCAUAGUUCCUAACAGAGCCUUUCAGAAAAAGAUCGUGCCAGCCAGCGGCGUGCAAACCUUUGACAUUCAUUUCUCGAUAGUGAUCGGAGAUUCGCCAACGUCGCCAGUAAGCAUCGCUUCGCUCGUGUUCUAUCCAGUCGCGAAAGUAUGGAGCGAGGCUGACAGGAUCCGGCAGAGUUAAUAGCGGAUACUUCUCGACGGGAAGUGUUGCCACCCAGUCUUUGGGUUUUGAGUUAUCGCCGGCACGCCGCCG